CGAAGCUAUGUUGAGUUGAUGGCUUGAUCAUCCGUCUCCUCAUCUUGGUGCCAGCUCCUCAUCCCUUACCCUCUGUGUUCCUGAAUGACUGUGAAGCUGCCUUGUUGAUUUGCAAGAUUCUGUCUUCUUUCCUUCCUAUCCCUGAGUUCUAUGUACUCCAGCAAGGUACAUAGAACAUGCAGAGACUGAAGGUAAUGGGAUUAGUGAGAACAAGGAUGAGUGGAUUACCAGAAGUAAGAUAAAUUGCUAAGACAGUCCUAAGAAGGAAACACAAUCGCCCUGCCCAAGAGGACCAGUUCUACAGCAGAAGGAGAACACAUCAGAUCUCAGUGGACCAACCUCAGG